rnacentral:rRNA from 1 species
GACGAACCGUGCGAACGUUGUUCGGAAUCACUGGGCGUAAAGCGCACGUAGGCGGAUGUGUCAGUCAGGGGUGAAAUCCCGGGGCUCAACCUCGGAACUGCCUUUGAUACAGCACGUCUUGAGUCCGAUAGAGGUGGGUGGAAUUCCUGGUGUAGCGGUGAAAUGCGCAGAUAUCAGGAGGAACACCGGUGGCGAAGGCGGGUCUCUGGGCAAUAACUGACGCUGAGGAGCGAAAGCGUGGGGAGCGAACAGG